GUGGGGAAUUUUGGACAAUGGGCGCAAGCCUGAUCCAGCAAUGCCGCGUGCAGGAAGAAGGCCUUCGGGUUGUAAACUGCUUUUGUACGGAACGAAACGGUCCGGGUUAAUACCCUGGGCUAAUGACGGUACCGUAAGAAUAAGCACCGGCUAACUACGUGCCAGCAGCCGCGGUAAUACGUAGGGUGCAAGCGUUAAUCGGAAUUACUGGGCGUAAAGCGUGCGCAGGCGGUUUUGUAAGACAGGCGUGAAAUCCCCGGGCUCAACCUGGGAAAUGCGCUUGUGACUGCAAGGCUGGAGUGCGGCAGAGGGGGAUGGAAUUCCGCGUGUAGCAGUGAAAUGCGUAGAUAUGCGGAGGAACACCGAUGGCGAAGGCAAUCCCCUGGGCCUGCACUGACGCUCAUGCACGAAAGCGUGGGGAGCAAACAGGAUUAGAUACCCCUGUAGUCC
rnacentral:rRNA from 1 species